rnacentral:tRNA from 1 species
ACGGACAUAGUUUAAUGUAAAACUAGCAAUGUACCAACAUCACACACACCUUUCAAAUAUGAUGAUUGAUUAAUUGCUAUUGCAGGUUCAAGUCCUGUUGUCCGUA